AUGAAUUCCUCACGUCGCAGCAAGAAGGAGAAGCUAUCAAAGAAGGACUACAACUUGUCCUGCAUCUUGACACUUCCCCCUUACCAGCGUAAAGGUUUUGGAAGACUGCUGAUCGAGUUUAGUUAUGAGCUCUCCAAGUUUGAGGGCAAGGCUGG
rnacentral:lncRNA from 1 species